rnacentral:rRNA from 1 species
AACGAACGCUGGCGGCAUGCCUAACACAUGCAAGUCGAACGAGACCUUCGGGUCUAGUGGCGCACGGGUGCGUAACGCGUGGGAACCUGCCCUUAGGUUCGGAAUAACUCCCCGAAAGGGGUGCUAAUACCGGAUAAUGUCUUCGGACCAAAGAUUUAUCGCCUUUGGAUGGGCCCGCGUUGGAUUAGCUAGUUGGUAGGGUAAAAGCCUACCAAGGCGACGAUCCAUAGCUGGUCUGAGAGGAUGAUCAGCCACACUGGGACUGAGACACGGCCCAGACUCCUACGGGAGGCAGCAGUGGGGAAUAGUGGACAAUGGGCGAAAGCCUGAUCCAGCAAUGCCGCGUGAGUGAUGAAGGCCUUAGGGUUGUAAAGCUCUUUUAACCGGGAUGAUAAUGACAGUACCGGGAGAAUAAGCUCCGGCUAACUACGUG